GAACAAAGAACAAAGAAUAUAAAAAAAAAUAACACAAGAACAUGGUACAAAUACUGUAUUAUCAGAUGCUCAGGAAAAGAAGGAAAGAGGAUUUAAUGUUUCGAGCCAGGCUCUUCUUCAGAAAUAGAAGAAAGUCCAAAAGAAGGGAAGACAGAGGAAUAAAAUCGCCAACAAUA